AAUGAACUAUACCCUUCUGAUUAUAACCGAUAACAAAGACUUUUCAUAUCUAGAAAAAACAAACCCCAUUCUAAUACAAAUAAAUAGAUAUAAUUAUAUUAAAAAUAAUAGCUUUGCACCAACAGAAUAACCAUCAUAAAACCUCGCUUUCAAGAACAGGCUAUUGCCCUUUUCAAUCUAAUGCAUUCUAUUUCUCAAAACUAAAAUUAUAGGCGGAAGAUCAAAACAACAAAACUUUGCCACAUGACUAGACAUAUGCAUAACAAACGUGUGAAUGACUUAAAUAACAUUCAACAUACACAAAGUCUCAAAUGUCCUGAACUACUCACAAAUCAGCCAAACUAUCAGACCACACGUAUUCAUUAAGACAAGGUGCAACAUAAAUUUUUCUAAGAAAUGUGAACUAUUGCUAUAUCAAAAUGAACAUGCAAGGAUAAGUACUAUUACACUACAUUACUAACUUCAAAAAUUCUAAGUAAAUAGAAAACAUUGAUAAUUAAAGAAAACAAUAUUUAUUCAUGUAAUCUUCAUGCUUAUAACAUUCAUACUUGCAGCUCAUCUUAUAUCGAAACAGGUAAUACAUGAAAAUCAAACAUGAAAAACCGAGAUGUGAAAUCAAGGGCCAGAAAAGGGGAUCAGCAACUGAACAACUGCCGGAAAACACCAAAAGGAAAUAGCUGAGCAUAACUGUGUUAAAAAAAAUACAGGCAAAAUCACCCGAACAAACAUCAGAACCAAGCCUCCAAACCCAAUUUCAAUCAAUUUUUGAACUAUAUUAACCUAGAAACCUUUACACGAAGAAAGAACUUAAGAAACUACAAAGGAUUGGCAAUGGAACAGUUAGCUUUUUGCCCUUUUGUUCUUAUUUCUGAUUCUUUAGCUCUUCAAAAUUUGCAUUGAGUCUUUCUUAGCUAUGCCUUUAUAGGCAAACUACUAGGGCAUCUGAAAUACACUAAAAUUUUAACUUUAGACCUUUCACAAUUUUUCUUUUUGUUAUUUAAUCCGUAGAUUAUUGACUUGUUGGCCAAAUAAAGAAUAUUUUCAGCUUCCAGGAAGCUUCUCAAAGCAGUUACAGCAAGAUUCUCUAAGUACAUAACCCCAAUUACCCCUAAGUGCCCAGAACUUUACAGUGGAUUCAAAUGGGGUAAGGGUCAACAGACAGGCUUUCAAUAAUUAGACCUUCAUUCAAUGGGCUGGUACUGACAAAACCUCGAGGCCAAUCCAAAAUAAACUUAAAGAGAAGGCACCCCAAACAAAAAAAACUGAGACGUCACAAUUAAUCAAAUCUUCUUCGCAUCUCUUUUUUUUUUUAAUAAAACACUUUUAAAAGAGUAAAAGAAAAUGUUAAUUAACACUAAAUUCAUGAGCAGCAAUUCUGACUGAAGCAAAAUGAGAAGGAGGAAGAGUUUAAUGGCUAACAAUUGAGUUUUAAUGUGAGAAAGAAAAGGAAUGAAAGUAACGAUGGAGCCCAGUUAACCGUCGAAAUUCCCAAAAACAAAGACGACUCUGACUCGAACUUGAACUCCAGCAAAUCCAAGGCUUGAAAAACGCUGAGAAUUGUGACAUGAAUAUUAGCCGAAAUUUUGUUCAUGGCUAAUAAUUCAUACAACAAUCCACACAACGUACCAAGAAAGGAGCGUAGUAGAAUCUUGAAGAAGUUGAAUCAUUUCCAGGAUACGCAUCCAAAAUCUGGCCAAAAUCGAAGGAUAGAGCAUUCUUGACAAUAACAAUUCUUUACUUGAUGAAGAACUGGGGAAUUCUUGCAUGUAUCAACACGAACUCAGGAUUUAAACCAAAAAUUGGAGUAGAAUGAAGAAAGUUUCGAUCUUUAUUUUCUUGAUCGUAAUUUUUUGGGGAAAUCAAGGGCAUGAUGUGAAUGAGGAGAUGCUGAGUAUAGGGAAGCUAAGAUUUGGGGGUGUUUUGAGGAGCUCCGCCGUCGUGAGAUGAUUUUCGAACGGCGGAGCUACGGUGGAGACAGACGGCGAUUUAAGAGGAAAAGGUAAAUUUUGGGACUCUAUUAAACGAUAGACUGGGAAAACUUGGUCGUUUAAUGCUGAAGGAAUACCUAAACAACGUAGUUUAGCAUUGAU
rnacentral:lncRNA from 1 species